rnacentral:rRNA from 1 species
AUGAUUUUUUAUCUGUAUUUGAUCAUAUUACUUUACUUCAAUCAGCAAAGAUAUCUGAGUUGGAGCAUGUCACCAAAACAAUCUUCUAAUUAUUUUACAUACAUGUACAAAUACCUAGAAUCAAAUUUCACAUCCAUCAUAUUAUUUGGCCUCAUGCAACUUACCAAACAACAUCUUGAUGAGCCUAACUCAUGUCAUGCAAGUACACCAAACACACAUUUCAACUCCAUCUUGCAUGAGCUCAACCAGGCCAGCCCCAGCCAAGCUCCCUCGUACGAUGCAGGCCGGAUGAGCCCAGGAAACCAAACACGCCCUCGAUGCUCUUGGCAUAGUGCAGCUACUGCACUCUCCAGCCCUCGUCAUGAGGCCUACACCUAG